rnacentral:rRNA from 1 species
UUCAAGAUUCUAAGAGCAAACGGUGGAUGCCUUGGCAUCUGGAGCCGAAGAAGGACGUAUAAAUCUGCGAUAAGCCUCGGGGAGCUGAUAAUAGAGCUGUGAUCCGAGGAUCUCCGAAUGGGGAAACCCCGCCAGGCCCUUUGGGUGACCUGGUGACUCCCGCCUGAAUAUAUAGGGCGGGUUGAGGGAACGUGGGGAAGUGAAACAUCUCAGUACCCACAGGAAGAGAAAGCAAAAGCGAUUCCGUUAGUAGUGGCGAGCGAAACCGGAAGAGGCCAAACCGAUCAUGUGUGAUAUCCGGUAGGAGUUGCAUGGUCGGGGUUGCGGGACUUUCCGUACAGUUCUACCGAGCUGUGAGGGCAAUGAGCGCGAUAUAGACGAAUGGUCUUGAAAGGCCAGUCAUAGAGGGUGCGAACCCCGUAGUCGAAAUGUCGUCGCCUGUCCGGAGAGUAUCCCAAGUAGCACGGG